rnacentral:rRNA from 1 species
AACGAACGCUGGCGGCAUGCCUAACACAUGCAAGUCGAACGAGACCUUCGGGUCUAGUGGCGCACGGGUGCGUAACACGUGGGAAUCUGCCCUUUGCUUCGGAAUAACAGUUAGAAAUGACUGCUAAUACCGGAUGAUGUCGAAAGACCAAAGAUUUAUCAGCAAAGGAUGAGCCCGCGUAGGAUUAGGUAGUUGGUGGGGUAAAGGCCUACCAAGCCGACGAUCCUUAGCUGGUCUGAGAGGAUGAUCAGCCACACUGGGACUGAGACACGGCCCAGACUCCUACGGGAGGCAGCAGUGGGGAAUAUUGGACAAUGGGCGAAAGCCUGAUCCAGCAAGGCCGCGUGAGUGAUGAAGGCCUUAGGGUUGUAAAGCUCUUUUACCAGGGAUGAUAAUGACAGUACCUGGAGAAUAAGCUCCGGCUAACUCCGU